rnacentral:rRNA from 1 species
CAGCGCCGCGGUAAUACCGGCGGCCCGAGUGGCGGCCACUAUUAUUGGGCUUAAAGCGUCCGUAGCCGGGUUGGUUAGUCUCCCGGGAAAUCUGGCCGCUUAACGGUCAGAAUUCCGGGAGAUACUGCCAGCCUAGGGACCGGGAGAGGCCGAGGGUAUUCCCGGAGUAGGGGUGAAAUCCUAUAAUCCCGGGAGGACCACCUGUGGCGAAGGCGCUCGGCUGGAACGGGUCCGACGGUGAGGGACGAAGGCCAGGGGAGCAAACCGGAUUAGAUACCCGGGUAGUCCUGGCUGUAAACGAUGCGGACUUUGUGUCGGACAAGCUAUGAGCUUGUCCGGUGCCGGAGGGAAACCGUUAAGUCCGCCGCCUGGGGAGUACGGCCGCAAGGCUGAAACUUAAAGGAAUUGGCGGG